UACGUAGGGGGCAAGCGUUGUCCGGAAUCAUUGGGCGUAAAGCGCGUGUAGGCGGCCAGGUAAGUCCGUUCUGAAAGCCCGGGGCUCAACCCCGGGAGGCGGAUGGAUACUGCUUGGCUCGAGUCCGGAAGAGGCGAGUGGAAUUCCCGGUGUAGCGGUGAAAUGCGCAGAUAUCGGGAGGAACACCAAUGGCGAAGGCAGCUCGCUGGGACGGUACUGACGCUGAGGCACGAAGGCCAGGGGAGCAAACGGG
rnacentral:rRNA from 1 species